UGCUUGCUCAUUUCUUGAAAGAGGUGA
rnacentral:piRNA from 1 species